rnacentral:rRNA from 1 species
GACGAACGCUGGCGGCGUGCUUAACACAUGCAAGUCGAACGCUGAAGCUUGGUGCUUGCACUGGGUGGAUGAGUGGCGAACGGGUGAGUAAUACGUGAGUAACCUGCCCUUGACUCUGGGAUAAGCCUGGGAAACUGGGUCUAAUACUGGAUACGACAUGUCACCGCAUGGUGGUGUGUGGAAAGGGUUUUACUGGUUUUGGAUGGGCUCACGGCCUAUCAGCUUGUUGGUGGGGUAAUGGCUCACCAAGGUGACGACGGGUAGCCGGCCUGAGAGGGUGACCGGCCACACUGGGACUGAGACACGGCCCAGACUCCUACGGGAGGCAGCAGUGGGGAAUAUUGCACAAUGGGCGGAAGCCUGAUGCAGCGACGCCGCGUGAGGGAUGACGGCCUUCGGGUUGUAAACCUCUUUCAGCACGGAAGAAGCGAAAGUGACGGUACGUGCAGAAGAAGCGCCGGCUAACUACGUG